rnacentral:ncRNA from 1 species
CCAAGGGGUGCUUUGGUUGCACAGGCCGAGGCUGAGAUGAUACCCUCAUACCUGAUCGGGGUAAUGCCCGCGUAGGAAACAGUUA